AUCAUGGGGAACAACACACACUGGGGACUGUCAGAGGGGCAGGGGAAGGGAAAGCAUCAGGAAUAAUAGUGAAUGGAUGCUGGACUUCAUAUCUAGGUGAUGGAUUUUCUGUGCAACAAACCGCCAUGGCACAUGUUUACCUCUGUGACAAACCUGCACAUCCUACAGAUGGUACCCUGGGACUUAAAAGUUGAAAGAAAAAAUUUAAAAAUUAAAAAUAAAAGCACCAAAUAUUCCUGGUACAUAAUAUAAUCACUAAUUUUACUGAAGUUUCACUAUAUCCUAGGCAGUAUUAUGAGUUUUCUUACCUGAAUCCAUCAGUAACCCUAAGAAGUAGAUAUUACUAUCCUGAUUUUACAAGCAGGGAAAUUGAAACUUGAAUACCUACCCACUGCAAACUCUUAGGAACACUUGAAAUUUCAUUGCCUUCUAACUUUGAGAAGCCCUUGAAAAGGUGGUUUUAGCCUUGAGAGAGAAAAAGUUGCUGAUAGGCUUAUUUAAAAGCCAAGAAGUUGUUAUAGUUUUAAAGCCUAAAUUGGACUUAGUGUCAGCUGAUCCAGUGACCUUCCCUUUUUUAUCCUAGGUAAUCCGGUAAUCUCCCAUUGAUGAGCAAAGCAUGUGUACUCUAUUAAAUACUGGGUGCAGUUUAGGUAACGCUGCCUCCAGCCUCAGGUGCCCAGCAGGAAGUCGUAAUUGACGAUACAGAGCUGAGUAGGGCAGCAUGGUCGCAUCCUGGGUCACCUUCCCCAUCCAUCCCUCCCCAUGGAGCUUGCUGCACUCAUUUACUGCUCAGCUCCUCUUUGACCAAUGGCUGAUGACCUGGACUGGACAUUGCCAGGUCCAAUUCUGUUCCUUACACAGACGAUUGCUGUGGUGAGUCAUAAACACCUCACUGAAUCUCACCUGAAAAGUUAGAUGGAAUGCCCUCUUCAUUCUUGACUCCCAGGAUGUGCUAAUGCCCCACAAAUAUGUGGUGUUCCUCAAAGGAAGGACAUGUAUAUAGUUCAAAGUGAUACUGUGUUCCAAACUCAAAAUUUAAAAAGGCACUGUGAGAAGUAAAUAUUUGCAGAGAAGCUAUAUCCCUAACAAAAUAAUCAAAAUGUGAUAAAUUUAAUUUUCAUUGAAAAUAUUUUAUGUUUCCAAGCAUAGAGACAAGAAAAAUGGCCUUCCUGAAAUACCGAGUAUAUAUAGUUAUAUUUUAGACUUUUCACAGUUGGAAUUUGGUGUUUACGUUUAUCUUUUUAAAUAUCAAUGAAAAAGUUUAUAUUUGUGUCUAGUGCCAUGAUAACAUUAGCAUGUCCCCUUUUUUAUGAGUUAGAGAGAUAAGAUGAUUUACCACUUCUUAUCUUUAGGGCUUAUUUUCUAAAGAUUUUAUCAAGAAGAAGUUACUUUUUAUAAAUAUUUGGCAUAUCUUUUAUUUUUGCUCUUCUUUCAUUUAGGAAAAAUCAAAACAACAAUGGAUUUUUUCCUGAGAUGCACAUUGACUUGUAGGAAGGCUGUCUGAGAAGCAAUUUGUCUGCAAGCAGAGAUUGUGGUCUGUGCAGAAAAAUGUACCAAGAUCUCUUUCCAGGAGAUGGGAAAGAUGAAAACUCUUUGGAAGGAACAAAGAAGAAUAGAGACCUGGAUUCCCAGGUCUGAGAGUGCUCUGUGAAUGAUCAGUCAUAUGUUGAAGCCUUAAACCCGAAUGUGACUGUAUUUGGAGAUAGGGUCUAUAAGAAGAUAAUAAAGGUUAAGAGGAUAGAGCCUUUAUCCAAUGGUACUGGUGUCUUUCUAAGAAGAAGAAAAGAUACUGGAGAGCUCUCUCUCUCUCUCUCCAGGCACACAGAGAGGAAAGGCCAUGUGAGAACACAAGAAGAAGACAGCUGUCUUCAGGCUAGAAGAAGAAGCCUCGCCAGAAACCCACCCCAACAGCACCUUGAUCUUGGACUUCUAGUCUCCAGAAUGCCACCAAACAGAAAUAAUCACAGCGACCUUGGAAGCUAAGUGCUGAAGACUGCAGAGCCACUGUCAGCCUGGGUCCCUGAGAUAAUCAUCAUAGUGACCUUGGAAGCUAAAUGAUGAAGACUGCACAGACUCCAUCAGCCUGGAUCCCUGAAUAACUGACUGCAAACACAUCCCCCUUUCCAAGAUGCCCUGAAAAAAGACCCAGAGAGGUGAAAUUAUUUGCUGACAGCUUUUUUACUUUGGUUUGGGAAAUCUGUCAGAGAUUGUAUUAAGAGAAUACCUAGACUGGUUACAGCUCUGCUUCACAGGACUACUGUGCAGCAUCCAGUUUAAAUCAUCAGACUCCAUGAGGCCAGCCAGGGUUCCACUGUUUUUUGCUGAAGCUCUCUCUACAAACUGCCAAAAUGGCUUCCAAUACUGUAACAGGAAUGCCCUUUAAAUGAGUUUGGUCUUAUAGGGUAGGGAGGAAGAAGAAUCCAUCAUGUAUCAAAGGAGUGAAUUGAUUGACUGGAUUUUUACUUUUCAAUUAAUCGUUUUGGCAGCCUGAAAGAGAGAGUCAGAAGAUCUAUCCCCAGUUGAAUGCUAUUGUUGUCAGAGUGAAAUGUGCCACUUUCAAUGACUGCUAUGCCAUAUUCAACAUAUGGUUGCUUGGAAGCACAAUGAUUAUUUCCUGGGAGAAGCAAUUUUCAACUACUACUUUUGUAUGAUAUUUACAUAAUAUCCCUUGUUCUGUGAAGAUACUGACUGAGACAACAGUGGCACUCCAGGGUAAGUCUUAGACAGAAGCAGCUCCAGAGAAGCAGAUGCACUGACAGAUUGCCACUGCCCUGGGAUUCAGAACUGUUCCAUGCUUAUCUUCUCAGAUCACUGCCUUCAUGUUUACUGGUGAAAGCAUCUGCUGUUGAAAAAUGCCAAGUGAGCAGCCCAAAGUUGCGGGAAACUUUUACCUAUUUCACACACAUAUCAAACACACUUCUAGGCCAGGCUCUCACAACUGCAAUCCUAACACUUUGGAAGGCCAAAGUGGGAAGUUUCCUUGAGCCCAAGA